CAACUGGUAGUUUAAUUAAAAUAUUAAUUUUGGAAAUUAAUGAUGAGUUGUUUUAUAUUCCUUGUUGA
rnacentral:tRNA from 1 species